rnacentral:rRNA from 1 species
GGGGGCGAGCAAGCGUUGUUCGGAUUUACUGGGCGUAAAGGGCGCGUAGGCGGUCAGCACAAGUCAGUUGUGAAAUCUCCGGGCUUAACUCGGAAAGGUCAACUGAUACUGUGCGACUAGAGUGCGGAAGGGGCAACUGGAAUUCUCGGUGUAGCGGUGAAAUGCGUAGAUAUCGAGAGGAACACCUGCGGCGAAGGCGGGUUGCUGGGCCGACACUGACGCUGAGGCGCGAAAGCCAGGGGAGCGAACGGGAUUAGAUACCCCGGUAGUCCUGGCCUUAAACGAUGGAUGCUUGGUGUCUGGGGUUUUAUAGUCCCCGGGUGCCGUAGCUAACGCGUUAAGCAUCCCGCCUGGGGAGUACGGUCGCAAGACUG